rnacentral:rRNA from 1 species
GACGUAGGGCGCGAGCGUUGUCCGGAUUUAUUGGGCGUAAAGAGCUCGUAGGCGGCUCGUUGCGUCGGCUGUGAAAACCCGCAGCUCAACUGUGGGCUUGCAGCUGAUACGGGCGGGCUGGAGUUCGGUAGGGGAGACUGGAAUUCCUGGUGUAGCGGUGAAAUGCGCAGAUAUCAGGAGGAACACCGAUGGCGAAGGCAGGUCUCUGGGCAUUAACUGACGCUGAGGAGCGAAAGCAUGGGGAGCGAACAGG